rnacentral:misc_RNA from 1 species
GCACAAUCACAAACAUGGAGCUCUCUUUCUUCACUCCAGUCCUGUGCCUCCUACUGCUAGCCACCACGGCCCUGGCUUCAGUGCCAGACAUUGAAUCUGAAGAACACACUGGUGAAGACCAUUUGGGUCGUAGUCGUCCAAUCACAAGGAUCUAUCAUCCGUCGACAAGCUCUUGCAUACUGAGGGAAUUGGUGUCGGACCCUCUGAAACUGGGACCUUGCACCAACUCCGACCCCUGGAGUUACACACCCCAGAAGAAUCUGUUGAUCAAGGGCACCUAUUUCUGCCUCCAGGCCA